UCCUGAUCCCAUAGGGACCCAUCCCCCCCUUGCCCAUAUGCCCCAUGGGGUCUUCAUCCUAUAGGGGGUCUGUUCCCAUUCUGUCCUGUGGGGUCUUGAUCCCACGGGCACCCAUCCCCACCGUUCCCAUAUGUCCUGUGGGGUCUUGAUCCCAUAGGGCCCCAUCCCCACCGUUCCCAUAUGUCCAUUGGGGUCUUGACCCAAUGGGGUUCCUUUCCCAUUCUGUCCUUUGGGGUCCUGAUCCCAUAGGGCCCCAUCCCCACCGUUCCCAUAUGCCCUAUGGGGUCUCGACCUCAUAGGAUCCCGUCCCUCCUAUUGGCUGUGUGCCCUUUGGGGUCUUGAUCCCACAGACCCCCGUCCCCCCUUUUUCCCACAUGCCUUUUGAGAUUUGAUCUCGUGCUGAUCCCAUUGCGUCAUUUGGGGUCUUCAUCUCUUAGGAUCCCACCCCCACUGUGGAUUUGUGCCCUUUGGGGUCUCGAUCCCACGGGCACCCACCCCUGUCGUUCCCAUGCACCCUGUGGGGUCUCGCUCUCAUAGGGUCCCACCCCUGCAGCGGCUGUUUGCCUUUGGGGUCCCGACCCCAAGAGGGUCUGAGCCUGUUGCGCUAUUUGGGGUCUUGGUCACAUGGGGUUUUUUCCCCUUUGGGGUCUUCGUCCCAUAGGAACCCACCCCGCCGUGGAUGUGUGUCCCUGGGCUGUGAUCCACAAGGCGUCCGUCCGUGUGUCCCGUGUCACCCUGUCCCCAAAGUGUCCGUGUGUCCCACGUCACCCUGUCCCCAAGGUGUCCGUGUGUCCCACGUGUCCCAUGUCACCCUGUCCCCAAGGUGUCUGUGUGUCCCUGUCCCCAAGGUGUCCAUCCAUGUGUCCCUUGUGUCCCAAGACAUCCGUGUGUCCCACACAGCUUUGUCCCCAAGGUGCCCACGUGCCCCACAUGCUCCUGUCCCCAAGUUUUCCAUGUGUCCCCUGUGUUCCUGUCCCCAAGCUGUCCACCUAUGGCUCCCAUGUGGUUUUGUCCCCACGUGGUUUGAGUGUCCCUGUCCCCAAGAUGUCCACCCAUGUGUCCCAUGUGCCACUGUCCCCAAGGUGUCCCCAUGAUGCCCUACGUGUCCCAUGUCAUCCUGUCCCCAAGGUGUCCACGUGUCCCCCGUGUCCCUGUCCCCAAGACGUCCACCUAUGGAUCCCACAUAGUUUUGUCCCCAAGAUGUCUGUGUGUCCCCCGUGUCCCUGUCCCCAAGCUGUCCAUCCAUGUGUCCCACGCAUCCCUGUCCCCAUGAUGCCCACGUGUCCCAUGUCACCCUGUCCCCAAGGUGUCUGCGUGUCCCUGUCCCCAGGAUGUCCAUCCAUGUGUCCCUUGUGUCCCUGUCCCCAAGACAUCUGUGUGUCCCACACAGCUUUGUCCCCAAGGUGCCCAUGUGCCCCACGUGCUCCUGUCCCCAAGUUUUCCAUGUGUCCCCUGUGUCCCUGUCCCCAAGCUGUCCACCUGUGGCUCCCAUGUGGUUUUGUCCCCACGUGGUUUGAGUGUCCCUGUCCCCAAGCUGUCCAUCCAUGUGCCCUACGUGUCCCAUGUCAUCCUGUCCCCAAGGUGUCCAUGUGUCCCGUGUCCCUGUCCCCAAGACAUCCGUGUGUCCCACACAGCUUUGUCCCCAAGCUGUCUGUGUGCCCCACGUGCUCCUGUCCCCAAGUUUUCCAUGUGUCCCCCGUGUCCCUGUCCCCAAGCUGUCCAUCCACGUGUCCCACAUGUCCCUGUCCCCAUGAUGCCCACGUGUCCCAUGUCACCCUGUCCCCAAGGUGUCUGCGUGUCCCUGUCCCCAAGGUGUCCAUCCAUGUGUCCCUUGUGUCCCUGUCCCCAAGACAUCCGUGUGUCCCACACAGCUUUGUCCCCAAGAUGUUCGAGUGUCCCCGUCCCCAGCCCAUCCCCCAGCCCCACACGGUUUGUCCCCACGUUGCCCAUCACCCCACGUCACCCCGUCCUCGCGAUGCCCAUCCGUUGCGCCCACACCCCACAAACCCAGUCACCCCGCUGCCUCCCAGCCCACCCAAACCCCUGCGAACCCGGCGCCACCAAACCCGGCGCCACCAAAGCCAGCGCCACCAAACCCAGCGCCACCAAACGCAGCACCCAUGUCUGACAAAACCACUUUAAAUACAGCAGCACAGGAAGGAGCGGCGGGGCAGCGAUGUCAGCACUGCGCCGCGUCCUCAAAGCCGGGGUUGGCCAUCGCCGCGCCCCGCACCGUGCCAGCCUCGGUGCCCCGUGUGCCACAUUUGGCGUCUUCCGUGCCAGAUUUGGCAUCUUCCGUGCCAGAUUCGGUGUCUCCCGUGCCAGAUUUGCUGCCCUCCACGCCAAACUUGGUGCCCUCCACGCCGGCUUCGGUGCCCUCCGUGCCGAGCGGUGCGGGACCUGCGGGCGCAGCGGGACGGGGUCACCCCGUGGCGGUGGGAUGGGGGGCGCUGU
ensembl:lncRNA